AGGAUAAACGCUGGCGGCGUGCCUAACACAUGCAAGUCGAACGUCCUUUCUUGCUUCGGUGAGAGAGGGAGUGGCGGACGGGUGAGUAACACAUGGGUGACCUGGCCUGAAGUGAGGGAUAGCAGACCGAAAGGUCUAUUAAUACCCCAUAUGUGUAUAUCUCGACAGAGGUAUACAUGAAAGGAGUAAUCCGUCUUAGGAUGAGCCCGCGCCCGAUUAGCUAGUUGGUAGGGUAAUGGCCUACCAAGGCUUCGAUCGGUAGGUGGUCUGAGAGGAUGAUCACCCACAAUGGGACUGAGACACGGCCCAUACUCCUACGGGAGGCAGCAGUGGGGAAUUUUGUGCAAUGGGGGAAACCCUGACACAGCGACACCGCGUGAGCGAAGAAGCCCUUUGGGGUGUAAAGCUCUGUCAGCUGGAACGAAAAAAAUGACGGUACCAGCAGAGGAAGCAUCGGCUAACUACGUGCCAGCAGCCGCGGUAAGACGCAGGAUGCGAGCGUUGUCCGGAUUUAUUGGGCGUAAAGAGUUCGUAGGUGGUUUGUUAAGUCUGAUGUUAAAGAUCGGGGCUCAACCCCGGGAGUGCAUUGGAUACUGGCAGACUGGAGUGUAGUAGAGGCAAGCGGAAUUCCCAGUGUAGCGGUGAAAUGCGUAGAUAUUGGGAAGAACACCAGUGGCGUAAGCGGCUUGCUGGGCUAUAACUGACACUGAGGAACGAAAGCCAGGGGAGCGAAUGGGAUUAGAUACCCCAGUAGUCCUGGCCGUAAACGAUGGAUACUAGGCGUAGCGGGUAUCGACCCCUGCUGUGCCGCAGCAAACGCGAUAAGUAUCCCGCCUGAGUAGUACGGCCGCAAGGUGAA
rnacentral:rRNA from 1 species